GUGAACGCUGGCGGUAGGCCUAACACCUGCAAGUCGAACGGCAGCACAGUAAGAGCUUGCUCUUACGGGUGGCGAGUGGCGGACGGGUGAGGAAUACAUCGGAAUCUACUUUUUCGUGGGGGAUAACGUAGGGAAACUUACGCUAAUACCGCAUACGACCUACGGGUGAAAGCAGGGGAUCUUCGGACCUUGCGCGAUUGAAUGAGCCGAUGUCGGAUUAGCUAGUUGGCGGGGUAAAGGCCCACCAAGGCGACGAUCCGUAGCUGGUCUGAGAGGAUGAGCAGCCACACUGGAACUGAGACACGGUCCAGACUCCUACGGGAGGCAGCAGUGGGGAAUAUUGGACAAUGGGCGCAAGCCUGAUCCAGCCAUACCGCGUGGGUGAAGAAGGCCUUCGGGUUGUAAAGCCCUUUUGUUGGGAAAGAAAAGCAGCAGGUUAAUACCCCGCUGUUCUGACGGUACCCAAAGAAUAAGCACCGGCUAACUUCGUG
rnacentral:rRNA from 1 species